rnacentral:rRNA from 1 species
UCCGAUGUCUAGUAUAGCACUAUACGGUGAAACUGCGAAUGGCUCAUUAAAUCAGUUAUCGUUUAUUUGAUAGUACCUUACUACUUGGAUAACCGUGGUAAUUCUAGAGCUAAUACAUGCUAAAAACCUCGACUUCGGAAGGGGUGUAUUUAUUAGAUAAAAAACCAAUGCCCUCCGGGGCUCCUUGGUGAUUCAUAAUAACUUAACGAAUCGCAUGGCCUUGUGCCGGCGAUGGUUCAUUCAAAUUUCUGCCCUAUCAACUUUCGAUUGUAGAGUAGUGGUCUACAAUGGUUUCAACGGGUAACGGGGAAUUAGGGUUCUAUUCCGGAGAGGGAGCCUGAGAAACGGCUACCACAUCCAAGGAAGGCAGCAGGCGCGCAAAUUACCCAAUCCCGACACGGGGAGGUAGUGACAAUAAAUACUGAUACAGGGCUCUUUUGGGUCUUGUAAUUGGAAUGAGUACAAUUUAAAUCCCUUAACGAGGAACAAUUGGAGGGCAAGUCUGGUGCCAGCAGCCGCGGUAAUUCCAGCUCCAAUAGCGUAUAUUAAAGUUGUUGCAGUUAAAAAGCUCGUAGUUGAACCUUGGGCCUGGCUGGCCGGUCCGCCUCACCGCGUGCACUGGUCCGGCCGGGUCUUUCCUUCUGAGGAGCCGCAUGCCCUUCACUGGGUGUGCUGGGGAAUCAGGACUUUUACUUUGAAAAAAUUAGAGUGUUCAAAGCAGGCCUAUGCUCGAAUACAUUAGCAUGGAAUAAUAGAAUAGGACGUGCGGUUCUAUUUUGUUGGUUUCUAGGACCGCCGUAAUGAUUAAUAGGGAUAGUCGGGGGCAUCAGUAUUCAAUUGUCAGAGGUGAAAUUCUUGGAUUUAUUGAAGACUAACUACUGCGAAAGCAUUUGCCAAGGAUGUUUUCAUUAAUCAGUGAACGAAAGUUAGGGGAUCGAAGACGAUCAGAUACCGUCGUAGUCUUAACCAUAAACUAUGCCGACUAGGGAUCGGGCGAUGUUAUCUUUUUGACUCGCUCGGCACCUUACGAGAAAUCAAAGUCUUUGGGUCUGGGGGAGUAGUGAGCC